GUAUUAAUUUUAGCAAAAUUGCAUAUCAUAUUAACAAUUAUUUGUACAUAUUUAUGCCACGGUGCUGCGAUUUUAAAUGAUACUCCUUUAGAUACCAUUGUAGUUAAUGAAGGAGAAGAGGCAUUAUUAGAUUGCGUAGUAA